rnacentral:rRNA from 2 species
AUAAGCAUUAUACGGCGAAACUGCGAAUGGCUCAUUAUAUAAGUUAUCGUUUAUUUGAUAGCACAUUACUACUUGGAUAACCGUGGUAAUUCUAGAGCUAAUACACGCUAAAAAUCCCGACUUCGGAAGGGACGUAUUUAUUAGAUUAAAAACCAAUGCCCUCUGGGCUCUCUGGUGAAUCAUGAUAACUGCUCGAAUCGCAGGGCCUCGUGCCGGCGAUGGUUCAUUCAAAUUUCUUCCCUAUCAACUUUCGAUGUUUGGGUAUUGGCCAAACAUGGUUACAACGGGUAACGGAGGGUUAGGGCUCGACCCCGGAGAAGGAGCCUGAGAGACGGCUACUACAUCCAAGGAAGGCAGCAGGCGCGCAAAUUACCCAAUCCCGACACGGGGAGGUAGUGACAAUAAAUACUGAUACAGGGCUCUUUCGGGUCUUGUAAUUGGAAUGAGUACAAUUUAAAUCCCUUAACGAGGAACAAUUGGAGGGCAAGUCUUGGC